CGCCAAAGACCCGGGUUCGAAUCCCCACAUGGGUACAUUGUGUGAAGCCCAUUUCUGGUGUCCCCGUGCCGUGAUGUUGCUGGAAUAUUGCUAAAAGCGGCGUAAAACCAAACUCAGUCAGUCAGUGUACAGUCUCAAGCAAACCAAACUGUUGGAUUAGUUCCACGGUACACUUUGCCUUGCAGGCAUUAUUGAGAGCUGGUCUCAUACAGGGUGAGAAGUUUGAUGAUGUUGAUGAUGAUGUUGCCUCUGUCCCUGUCCUCAUGUAUGCUGUGUCUGCUUGUACAUCCUGCCAUCGUUGGUUGUCGACAUCAUGUGUGCUUUGUGAAGUCGUAUAAUGAAUAUUCCCUUCAUAACAUAAUCUUUUGUAUGAUGUAAUCAAACAGUUGCCUCCAAUACAACAUAGCACAGUGUAUAUACAUCAGCAUCCAAUUGACUUCAGCUGAACACCUCAACCUACAAUGAACACCUCAUGUUCUAGGUGAACACCUCAAGCUAGCAGUGUACACUUUAAGCUACAGUUGAACACCUCAAGCUAGCAGUGUACACUUUAAGCUACAGGUGAACACCUCAAGCUAGCAGUGUACACUUUAAGCUACAGGUGAACACCUCAAGCUAGCAGUGCACACUUUAAGCUACAGGUGAUCACCUCAAGUUAGCAGUGCACACUUUAAGCUACAGGUGAACACCAAGAGCUAUAAGUGAACACACCAAACUGUAAGUGAGCACCUCUAGCUGAAGAUAAGACAUUUAUCAAACCAGGCUGAUGUUUGUUUCUGGUCUCUAAGUGAAAGGGUAUGUGAUGUUACCUGUGUAUUUGUUAUGUUCUCCUGUAAAACUGACCAUGGUAUCAGAGCAAGUUGAGUCAAACUAACCCACGACCUUCAUCGUGAACAGACUAUGUUUUUUGUGCCACUUCCCAUGUGAAUACAUGUCCCUAUAUAUUCUGUCAAGCAUAUCAACAACAGUCAACAGUGGAUAUUAUUCUGAUGCAGUGAAAUCAGGCCAGGUGGGCCUUGUUGGUCCGACAGAAAUCCAUGUUAAGGACUUCUGUUGGAAAUGUAGGAUCCCGUGUCGACAUAGUGUGUAUCCAGAACUGAUUGUAAUUAACUGAAGCUGUUUGAAUAUUCCAUUCUGUAUGGACAAAUACCCGGCAACUCAUAUGACGAUAUGUUUUCUUACCUCCAUUAUGGUGACGACAGACAGUGUAUAUAGUUAAUGUUACGAAGUGAAGGAGAUCAAGGGAAACUCUACCUCACAGCAUGCUUUGAAGCAGGAAUUUUUCCAUAAAGCUGUCCAGGGAAUAUUGCAGUUUACAAUAUGCAAGACAGACUUGUAAUACUUCCAGUGGACAGCGAUGUGGACAACGCCAUAACAGUGGUGUAGUGGGCAGCAUCAGCCCAGAUUGUCAGUGGGUCAGUCCCAGGCCCUGUCAUACAAUAAUGCUUUAUAAGAUGGUACUGCUUGUUACCGAGCCUUGUGCUUGGCAUUACUGGGUUAAAACAACUGUUGUUUCGGAGUCCGUACACUGUGAGUGGGGUGUCCAUGCUAAACUGUGCCAUGGUAUCUCAGCCUUCUGCUAUGGUGCCAGAUAUGCACAGACACAACCAUGCAUGUACUUUGCCAUGUAAGUGCAAUACUCUUGAACAAUGAAGUGAUAUUAAACCUCACCUUGGUGAACAAUGCCUACUUGGGUGAUGCAGACUUAACAGUAUCAGCAGGUGGUGCAUGCCAAUGUCUAGUGAUCUCAUAUCUAGAGUUAUGUCCCCUAUUCAUGCCAGGAUCUUGCAACAUGGUUCCAUCCCCAACCGAAAUUGCAAACCAUGGUCGUGGGCACCAUACCCUUGUUUGUGGAUUUCACCAAUUCUCUUUGACCUCUAUCUCAUUAGGCCUCCUCUGCCAGUAACCCUGCUGAGAGGCAAAUACUCUUCAAGGCUAUAGUAUCUGUGCAGUUCAUCUGCUUCAUGGGUACAUACAAGGCUUGGGUAUUUCAGACAGAGUGCUGAAACACUAACUGUCUCUUCUAGCAUGGAGAACACUGUGACAAGCCUCAUAAGUUCACUCAGGUCAGAUCAAUGUAGCAGAUCAGAAUAUCUUGCCAAGAUUACAAACAGUGAGCUUCAAAGAACACAGGCAGCUCAUUUGGAAACAGCUGAACAGAACUAUCUGGUAAAUGCCACUUGAGGCUUGGGCAUUAUCCUUCACAUGUCGGGGCAGUGGGGUAGCCUAGUGGUUAAGGCGUUUGCUCGCCACGGCGAGGACCUGGGUUCAAAUCCUUUCUGGUGUCCCCCGCUGUGAUAUUGCUGGAAUAUGGCUAAAAAAAAAAAAAGACGGCGUAAAACUAAACUCACUCACUUUCACUCUUCACACAUGUACAUUGAGAAUGAUGAAGCCAUCAUUUACCACUGAUCCCUGAAAGCUUCAAUAUCCCUGAGUAUCCUAUACACGUGUAUUAUCAACCUAUGAAUGUAUAGAAUUUGCCAUCACACACGACCGUGACAGAUGCAGGCCUACUGUUGACAGGUCAUGUGACUGUUUCCCGGUCUCCUUCACAUGCUUUCGUGGCCAUCAUUUCAGAAUUGAGCUUUAACACUAACCGUCACAUACUUCGCUCAAUACAUGCUUGUCUAGAUAUAUUUGUUUGUUGUUGCACAUAGCAUUUACAUUCAGAUCAUUUUAAUAAUCUUUUAGGAAUUGUUUUCUUCAAUAGGAUAUUGCAUUUUUCACAAAAUUAUCUUUAUCCAACUUUGUAAAGCUUUGGAAGCAAUUUACAUGUCUUGCAUUGAAGGAAAGCCUUCACAACAGUUGUCAGACAUACACGUCUACAAUGUGGUCAUUGUUAAUUUGUAUAUAAAUCAACUUGAAACUGAAACAAGGCUUGACCAGCAUUGUAAUGGUUUUUUUCUAUAUCUGCCACAUGUUUUUUUGUUUCUUUUAGCAAAAUUAAAAUUAAAAUAAUAUUGUUUUCAUUCCUGCUCUUAUGACUCUUAUUUAAGGAAGUGCAACAUUUUUCUGCACUGAAUAUAGUUUCUGUCCAGUAAGGAUUCCUUCAGUUUGCAUUACAUUUAAUGAUCCUUAUAUGUUGAGGCCAUGUUCCCAGGUGGGGAUACUACAAAACAACAGGGCACCUGUAACUGCGUCAAGUGGAAGACACAACCAGUUGUCGCUCGAUUUGUGAAGGCUAGAACAUGAUGUCACUUCCACAUCAUUUAGUUGUUGCGUUAAAAAUAUGUUGUUAUGAAAUUUAAAUUUAUGUUGAUAUUCUACUGAAUUACAGAAUAAAGAACUGUACCUAAUAUGAAAAA